rnacentral:rRNA from 1 species
CUUGAACGCUGGCGGCAGGCCUAACACAUGCAAGUCGAACGACUGGCGGACGGGUGAGUAAUGUCUGGGAAACUGCCCGCUGCAGGGGGAUAACUACUGGAAACGGUAGCUAAUACCGCAUACCAUCGGAUGUGCCCAGAUGGGAUUAGCUAGUAGGUGGGGUAACGGCUCACCUGGGCGACGCUCCCUAGCUGGUCUGAGAGGAUGACCAGCCACACGGGAACGGAGACAGGGUCCAGACGCCUACGGGAGGCAGCAGUGGGGAAUAUUGGACAAGGGGCGAAAGCCGGAUGAAGCCAUGCCGCGUGGAUGAAGAAGGCCUUCGGGUUGUAAAGUACUUUCAGCGAGGAGGCGUUACUCGCAGAAGAAGCACCGGCUAACUCCGUGCCAGCAGCCGCGGUAAUUC